AAAUUCCUACGGGGCGCAGCAGUGGGGGAUAUUGCACAAUGGGGGGAACCCUGAUGCAGCGACGCCGCGUGGGUGAAGGAGCGUUUCGGCGCGUAAAGCCCUAUCGGCAGGGAAGAAGAUGACGGUACCUGACCAAGAAGCCCCGGCUAACUACGUGCCAGCAGCCGCGGUAAUACGUAGGGGGCAAGCGUUAUCCGGAUUUACUGGGGGUAAAGGGGGCGCAGACGGCCAUGCAAGCCAGGAGUGAAAGCCCGGGGCCCAACCCCGGGGCUGCUCUUGGAACUGCAUGGCUGGAGGACAGGAGG
rnacentral:rRNA from 1 species